GACAGCAGCCGCCGCGGUAAUACAGAGGGUGCGAGCGUUAAUCGGAUUUACUGGGCGUAAAGCGUGCGUAGGCGGCUUCUUAAGUCGGAUGUGAAAUCCCUGAGCUUAACUUAGGAAUUGCAUUCGAUACUGGGAAGCUAGAGUAUGGGAGAGGAUGGUAGAAUUCCAGGUGUAGCGGUGAAAUGCGUAGAGAUCUGGAGGAAUACCGAUGGCGAAGGCAGCCAUCUGGCCUAAUACUGACGCUGAGGUACGAAAGCAUGGGGAGCAAACAGGAUUAGAUACCCGUGUAGUCCCUGUCUCUUAUAC
rnacentral:rRNA from 1 species